AGAGCUCAACCCGGAAGUCUCACGAGGUAGACGGGUGGUCUGGCAACCCACGUGGGUUGGGCUUCGGACAGUGUUGCGAGUCGGCCCACGGAAUCCGAGCGCCAUGGGGAAGCUGCGCCGGCGGUACAACAUCAAGGGGCGCCAGCAGGCGGGCCCUGGCCCCUCGAAGGGACCCCCCGAGCCGCCUCCAGUGCAGCUGGAACUCGAGGAUAAGGGGACGUUGAAAGGCAUUGAUGCAAGCAAUGCACUCGUUCUUCUGGGGAAGAAGAAGAAGAAAACCAAAGCCCCUCCCCUAUCGAAGAAGGAGAAGAAACCUCUGACCAAGAAAGAGAAGAAAAUGCUGCAGAAAAUCUUAGAACAGAAGGAAAAAAAGAGCCAGCGAGCAGAGAUGCUGAAGAAAUUGAGUGACGUCCAGGUUUCGGACGCCGAGAUGAAGCUCUUUUAUACCACAUCCAAGCUGGGCAUGGGAGACCGCAUGUACCACACCAAAGAGAAACCUGAUGAGGUAGCCCCCCAGGGCCCAGAGAAGAUCAACAGCCUCAGUGGGGCCCACCGGAAGCGCCGCCGCCGGCAGUCAGAAGAGGAGUCUGAGUCCUCCGAGGCGUCUGAGGCUGAUGAGGCUCUGGCUGCUGGGCAGGUGGAGGCUGGUGCAGGAACAGCCGCAGUGUGUCUGCCACCAGCCCCUCCAGAGGCCCGGGGCCAGAGCCCAGUGCCCAGCUGUCAGCCCACUUCAGCUGGGACUCCCGCCAAGGCUCCUGCCCCUCCAGCAGCUGCCCCGACCCCAGCCAGGCCCCUGGCGAAGCCCGCCGUCUUCGUCCCUGUGAACCGCACCCCUGAGAUGCAGGAAGAGCGGCUGAAGCUCCCAAUUCUCGCCGAGGAGCAAGUGAUCAUGGAGGCUGUGGCUGAGAACCCCAUCAUCAUCGUGUGCGGCGAGACCGGCAGCGGCAAGACCACGCAGGUGCCCCAGUUCCUCUACGAAGCUGGCUACAGCAGUGACGACAGCAUCAUCGGGGUCACAGAGCCACGCCGAGUGGCCGCCAUCACCAUGUCCCAGCGAGUGGCCAAGGAGAUGAACUUGUCACAACGAGUCGUCUCCUACCAGAUCCGGUACGAAGGCAACGUGACUGAAGAGACGAGAAUCAAGUUCAUGACGGAUGGUGUGCUGCUUAAAGAAAUCCAGAAGGACUUCUUGCUGCGGAAAUACAAGGUGGUGAUCAUCGAUGAGGCCCACGAGAGGAGCGUGUACACCGACAUCCUCAUUGGCCUCCUGUCCCGCAUCGUGACCCUCCGGGCAAAGAAGCACCUGCCACUGAAGCUGCUCAUCAUGUCGGCCACGCUGCGGGUGGAGGACUUCACCCAGAACCAGCGGCUCUUCGCCAAGCCGCCCCCGGUCAUCAAGGUUGAAUCCAGGCAGUUCCCGGUGACAGUGCAUUUUAACAAGCGGACGCCACUGGAAGACUACACCAGUGAGUGCUUCCGGAAGGUCUGCAAGAUCCACCGGAUGCUGCCUGCAGGUGGCAUCCUGGUGUUCUUAACGGGCCAGGCAGAGGUGCAUGCACUGUGCCACAGACUCAGGAAGACCUUCCCCCGCACCAGACGUGGACCGCAAGAAAAGGAAGAACAGAAAGAUUCGGUGGAAGAAAUGCGGAAGUUUAAGAAGUCACGGGCGAGGGCGAAGAAGGCUCAGGCCGUGGCGUUGCCCCAGAUUAACUUGGAUCACUACUCAGUGUUGCCAGCGGGUGAAGGUGAUGAGGACAGGGAGGCAGAGAUGGACGAUGAUGAGGAGGCCCUGGGCUCCGACCUGGAUCUGGACUUGGGGGACGAGGGGACAGAUGAAGGUGAGCAGCCGGACGCCUCCCUCCCGCUCCACGUGCUCCCGCUGUACUCUCUGCUGGCCCCUGAGAAACAAGCACAGGUCUUCACACCACCCCCAGAGGGGACACGGCUGUGUGUUGUGGCCACCAAUGUGGCCGAGACAUCCCUUACCAUCCCCGGCAUCAAGUACGUGGUGGACUGCGGGAAGGUCAAGAAGCGUUACUAUGACCGUGUCACCAGCGUGUCCUCCUUCCGCGUCACAUGGGUCUCCCAGGCAUCGGCUGAUCAGCGGGCAGGCCGGGCCGGGCGAACAGAGCCUGGCCACUGCUACAGGUUGUAUUCCUCCGCUGUUUUCGGUGACUUUGAGCAGUUCCCUCCUCCUGAAAUCACCCGGAGGCCCGUUGAAGACUUGAUCCUUCAGAUGAAAGCUCUCAACAUUGAGAAGGUCAUCAACUUCCCCUUCCCGACCCCUCCCUCUGUAGAGGCCCUCAUUGCCGCUGAGGAGCUGCUGAUCUCACUGGGGGCCCUGCAGACGCCCCCGAAAACAGAGAGGGUGAAGCAGCUGCAGAGGUCCCGGGUGAGCUGCCCCAUCACCCUGCUGGGCAGGACCAUGGCCACGUUUCCUGUGGCACCCCGCUAUGCUAAGAUGCUGGCGCUGAGCCAGCAGCACGGCUGCCUGCCCUAUGCCAUCGCUAUUGUGGCCGCCAUGACGGUGCGCGAGCUGUUCGAGGAGCUGGACAGACCAGCCUCCAGCGACGAGGAGCUCGCAACACUGAGGGGCAAGCGGGCCCGUGUGGCCCAGAUGAGGAGGACCUGGGCGGGGCAGGGGGCCUCUCUGCUGUUGGGAGACCUCAUGGUGCUCCUGGCUGCCGUGGGAGCCUGGGAGUUCGCUGGUGGCUCACCCCAGUUCUGUGAAGCCAACGGGCUACGGUAUAAGGCCAUGAUGGAGAUCCGGCGCCUUCGAGGCCAGCUGACCACCGCAGUCAAUGCCGUGUGCCCGGAGGCCCAGCUCUUCAUGGACCCCAAGAUGCAGCCACCCUCUGAGAGCCAGGUAACCUACCUGCGACAGAUUGUGACAGCCGGCCUGGGUGACCACCUGGCACGCAGGGUCCAGAGCGAGGAGCUGCUGGAUGACAAGUGGAGGAAUGCCUAUAAGACCCCCCUCCUCGACGACCCUGUCUUCAUCCACCCCAGUUCUGUCCUCUUCAGAGAGCUCCCCGAGUUUGUGGUCUACCAGGAAAUCGUGGAAACCACCAAGAUGUACAUGAAAGGUGUCUCGGCCGUGGAGGUGCAGUGGAUCCCCGUACUCCUGCCUCCCUACUGCCAGUUCGGGCCACCUGCAGAGGAGCCGCCCCCCGCGUUCUGCCCUGAGAUGGGGCGCGUGCUGUGCCACCGUGGCAGCGUGUUCUAUCGGGUUGGCUGGCCGCUCCCCAAGGUCCAGGUGGACUUUCCUGAGGGCAUCGACCGCUACAAACACUUUGCCCGGUUUCUACUGGAAGGGCAGGUCUUCUGCAAGCUGGCCUCGUACCACGGCUGUCUGCUGUCCCGCCCCAGCACGAUGCUAAAAACAUGGGCCAGUGAUGGCCCAUACCCUGCUCCCCGCUUGGCAGGCUGCAGCCCAGGACAGAGAGUCUCCUGAAAGCUCUGGUUGCCGAGAAAGCAGACUGCCGCGACGCCUUGCUGGCAGCUUGGAAGAAAAACCCCAAAUACCUGCUGGCUGAGUACUGCGAGUGGCUCCCUCAGGCCAUGCACCCCGACGUAGAGAAAGCCUGGCCUCCCACCUCUGACCGCUGAUCGGCACCUGGCUGUGGACCGAGGACUGGUCAGGAGACCAGAGGGCUGGCAGGAGGCAGUGUCCAGUAUGGUGACUCCAGCCCCCAGCCUGCUCCCAGGAGGCAGGUCAGGCCACUGGAGAUGCUUGUUCAUCUCAGCCGGUUUCUGGACAAAGCCUGCUGUGUCCAGGCAGACUGCCCCAACUGGGACAUCUUUGUAACUGUUUGUUAUGCAAUGAGCCGUUUUAUCUCACCUGCUGGUUACCGUGUUUAAAUGCUCUCAGACCACAUUAGUCACAGGGCUGGAAGUUCAGAAGCAGCAGAGUGUCUGUCCCUUGUCCAGAGGUGCUGUUCACGGCAUCCUGGCUGCGUUUCUUCCCUGAAGGUGGGGCCACCGUCCCCACAGUGGGGAGGGGGGGGGUCACCCCAGUGCCUGGCACUGGCCUGAGGCAAGUGGAUAGCUCUGUUCUGACCUUGGGGACCUGGCCAAGGGCCUCCCCCAGUCUCCACACCCUUCUGUGAAAACAGCCAAGUGGCCACUGGACCUUUCCUGUGCUGUGGCCACAAGGACUGGGGCAUCUGUCCUCCCUGACCAGAUGGCCAGCUCCUCACGUGGUACGUCCGUGUUCACUUCUUCCUGAUGCAGUACAUCCUUGUUCACUUCGGCCAUGUGCCAAGGGCAGGGCUUGUACCGGGUAGGUGCCCACGCAUGGCAGCUGCUCUGUGGGCCUAAAGAAAGGCUCCCGCCCGAGCUUCCUUCCCUGGUGGCAGAGAAGGAAGGUGGAGGGCAGAGGAGGUCCCUGGGGGAGAAUGAGGAAUAAGAAGGCCCCAGUCCUCCGUGGUGAGAGCCUGGCUGGCCCACCCAGAAUGCAGCUCCUACCCAGGAUGGGCCCAGCGCCAGGUCAGCAUCUCACCAUAGGUGCGGAGCUUUGGUGAAGAAAGAAUUAUGACAUGACAAUGUUCCUUCCACCCAGAUGGUUUUGUCCAGCAGACUCAGAAAAAACCCAGGUGGACACUUUGCCAUCUCCCUGAGCUCAACUUGUCUGCCAGCCUGGCAGCCUCACAACACUUGCUGUCGGGGCUUCUUACGUCCUAGGUGGCUCCCAGAGUCCUUGGCAGGGUCUCUCUUCCCCUCCUGCCCUUAGACAAGGUGCUCAGGUCUCAUUCCCCCCACAACCCAGGCCUUCUCACACCACAUCCCUCCCUGGAGCUCAGCUACUGCUACCUCAGAGGCGGUGCCCACAGCCCAGGGCAGCCUGCAGGCUCAUUUUGUUUCACUCACACCGUGAUUGAGGAAAGCUUUAAUUCCUUGCUAACAUCCAGAAUUGGGUUAUUUCCCACUCAAAAAUCCUGAUCGCCAGCUUUUCUAGAAAAUUCCAACCACGCACUAAAGUAUAUGUGGAAGCCAUUCUCUCAACCACCUUCUCUCUUGGGUACCGAAGCAGCCUCCUAGCUGACUUCCCUGCCCUGCUUCUCCUGUCCUUCACUCAGCCGCCACGGCAAAGGAAGAAAAUAUGAUCAGGGAACUAUUUUUUUAUUAAGAGAUUUUUUGGAGUCUUUGGAGUUGUGUAAACAUCAUCACUAUUUAAUUCCAGAAUGUUUUCAUCAUUCCCCAAAAGAAAACCUGUGCCCAUUAGCAGUCACCCCCUUAUUUUUCCCCAGCCCUAGGCAACUACUAACCUAUGUUCUGUUGCUAUGGAUUUGCCUAUUGUGAAUAUUUCAAAUAAAUGGGAUCAUGCAGUAUGUGGUCUUUUGUGUGUGUUUUU